UGGGUGGGUCUUAAAAGGAAUUGAAACUAAAUUGUGAGAAGUCAGAAGUUUUGAGUCUUUCUCUAGCCUUAGCAGUGAUACUCCUUUCUGACAAGGCAAGGUACUCCUGAAGCAAUGUCUGGAAUUCGAGGCUGGAGGGAUGGCAUCAGGUACAGGAUGGCUGCUACCUCCAGUACCCCAGGAUCCUCUCAGGAUUACCUCUGGGAUAGCAACAACGAAAGAGAGGAGGCUGAAACCCCCCAGAAACCAACAACAUCUAAAAAGGAGCAAAGUGGCCAAGCAUCAGGCUACCAACAACAGCAAGAGCAGUAUGUCGGCCCUUAUGUCUUGAUAACUCCAAAUGAAACCAGAAGAAACCAGCUGCAGCAAAUUGCUAAGAAAGAGCUGGAUGACCUGCAGCGGUGGAAGGAAAAGCACAGGCAAAGGCCUAUUAACUUGGUUCCACAGAGACUGGGUGGAAAGCAAUCAGAAGCUCAAGUAAGGCAAAACCAGCAAAUGAUGCUCAUGCAAUCCAAAUACCAGCAAAAGCACAAGAGAAAAGAAUAUAUAAAAGCAAAAAAGGAAGCUGAAGAAACUGAAAUCCUGAAAAAGAAAGCACUGCAGAGAGAAAAGGCAGAGAGACUUGAAGUUAAGAAGAGGCAGCAAGAAAUGCAAAGAAGAGAGAUGUUCCUUGAAGAUCAACAUUACAAAACCAAUGAAUUAUUGAACAGAUUGGACGUGGGUUUGCCAAAGAGUGAUUCCUGUCAGAUUGCUAAUCAUGGUGCAGAAUCUACAGCGUGGAUGAGAAGCCGUAUGUAUAAGCAAGCUCUUCGAGAGGAUGAAACCAGAAGAUUAGAGGAAAUGAAGCAAGAACAACGGAGGAAGGCUGAAUUAAUGGAAAUUAAACAAAAGCAGGAAGAGGAAGACAGGAUGAGAGCACAUCAAGAUGAACAAAGAAGGGUAAAUAUUGCUUUCCUGGACCAACUCCAGAACAAAACACAACUUACUAACAUCCACCAGCCUGAACAUUCUGGGAGCCUGGACUAAUGCAGUAACAGUGACUGGGAGCCCAAACUACUUGGAAUAAAGGAGGAGAAAGGAGACAACAUUUUAAUGAUUUCCAAAAUCAGAUGCAUGACCAAGAUAUUUCUAAUGGAAAUGAAGGAUCCACACAACAUGUUACAUAAACCAUGCAGAUGAGAUUAGUUGCAGCAUUUAUAAGUAUAUCUUAGGCAAAGUUAAAGGUUUUCUGAGCAGUUUUUUUUCAGUGUGCAGGCAUGACACAAUGUUUUUCCAUAACACUUGCAAUAUGGAAACUUUAUGAUUGAUCACAUGAAAUUUUCUUUUGAACCAUGAUUAUUGCUAUGUUUCCUUUUGCCUCUGGAACUUUCUGCAGUUGCCCUGAGCUCUUUUUCCCCUCAAAGAAUUGGUCAAAUCAUUUAUUCUAUUAGCUAGCUGAUGUUAAUAGGAAAUACUGGAUAUCUUGGUAAUGCUCUGUGGUUUACCCAUUUUUAGAGUAUCUGACACUUGGAAAAAUCUAUGGGGAGACUUUUACAUACCUAUGCAAUGGCACUGUAUUGCAGGUGGUACUUGGCUGUGCUAGCGGACUGCUGCUUUGGAAAUGAAAUUCACAUCUCCCUCCAAGGACUCUCUCACCCAGCUUCCUUCAGUAGUUAUCAGGGCUGGGCUAAACAUCUGCAGAGUGGGAUAUAUGUACAUGCACACACAUAUAUUUUAAAGGAAAUUUCUUUGCUUUAAUCAGAUCCUUGUGUUGUAUUCUAAUGAGACUGACUUGUAGGUUGUCUUUUUGAAGCAGAGAACCUGCAGCCUGUCUGCACUUGAUGUACGAUAACCCUAGACCCUGCUAACAAAGGCUGAGUGGGAGGGAAGGUCACAAUGGUCACUGACAAGUUAAAAUUCAGUGUGAUCAUGUUGCUGCUUCUAUAUAAAAAAACAAACAACAAAACAAAAACAAAGAAAAAAAACAAAAAACCAAAACAAAAAAAAAACACUUAAAAACCAAAACCCAACUUUCUGUUAAUCUGCUACUUCCACAUUCAGGAACAGUAAUGGCAAGUCACCCUGAGUAACCUCUUCCAUUAAGCUUGUCUACUUUCAUCUAGUUGUCUUCAAAGAUGAAGCUUGAUCAUAAUCUUCAAAGUGCUUCCACUUAUCCAGCAUUUCAAUCUGUUAUUUGAAAUGCUCUCUACAAACUAUUUCAGACAUUAACUAUUCCAGCCCUUUUUAACGGCAAAGUAUCUGAAUUUUUCCUUUCCUAUCUUUCUGAACAGAACAAACAAAUCUAUAUGAACAGUGGCCCAGGAAGUGUGUUUAAGAGCCAAGGCCUGCAACAGAGAUGAUAAGAAGUUAUAGCAUCCACAAAUUGAUGUUAGCAGGAUGUCUGGGAAAUGCUGUUCUUAUCCUGUUGGAAAGCUUCCAGUAUCUCAGAAUUACCACUUCCCCACACACACAUCCUGCAAAAAUUUAAGCUUGAAGGCUUGACAUCUCUUUAAAGGGGCUAUAAUGAAAUGAAUUGGUGAUAGACUGGGGAAAUGGCUUCAUGGCUAUCAAAACUUAGGAACCAAUAUUUCAGUAUGUUUGCUAUCUACCUGUUAGAGUAAAACUUUGACAAAGGUUUUCAAAUAAAAUGAGUUCCUCUAGUUAUAAUUUACACCAACCAAAAUAAUUACCUAGUAUGCAGUGGCAUAAAACCAGAUGUUCUUACUAUAUAACAGUAAAUGGAGGGGUUUUUAUUGUUUUGAAAAUUGUUGUUUUCUCAAUGUAAUCUGCACUGAUGAUCUCCUUGCUAUUUCAGAAACAAACCUUCCAACAGAGAGUGGUAUGGGGCUGGAAGUUACGAAAGGAAACCCCUUUGCUUUUUCAUUGCGGAGACAAAAUUGUUUUAACAAACUGACUAAAGCAUUAUAAUCAGCUAUUCUGAAUUCCAAUCUAAAUUGACAGCAAGAUUCCUACGUUUAGAUUUCGUAGUCUGCCUAAAUCAGAAACUACCUCCCUAUGAAGAAAUGCAAUAUUCAUGUAGGGACUUACAGGAUUGAUUCUCUAUUAUGUAUCUAAAAGUUUCAAUGGCUUAACUGUCCCUGCUUUUAAAAAUAUCUGCCUGACUCCUAGUUCAAACUUGACAAUUUUCAGGUAGCUUUUACUGAAUUUUCUUAACCACUUACCUGGUAAAUUAAAAAGUUUUAUGCACUUGGA